CCUACGGGUGACUGCAGUGAGGAAUAUUGGUCAAUGGACGCAAGUCUGAACCAGCCAUGCCGCGUGCAGGAUGACGGCUCUAUGAGUUGUAAACUGCUUUUGUACGAGGGUAAACCACGGUACGUGUAUCGGGUUGAAAGUAUCGUACGAAUAAGGAUCGGCUAACUCCGUGCCAGCAGCCGCGGUAAUACGGAGGAUCCGAGCGUUAUCCGGAUUUAUUGGGUUUAAAGGGUGCGUAGGCGGUUUGAUAAGUUAGAGGUGAAAUGUCGGGGCUCAACCCCGAAACUGCCUCUAAUACUGUUAGACUAGAGAAUAGUUGCGGUAGGCGGAAUGUAUGGUGUAGCGGUGAAAUGCUUAGAGAUCAUACAGAACACCGAUUGCGAAGGCAGCUUACCAAACUAUAUCUGACGUUGAGGCACGAAAGCGUGGGUAGCAAACAGGAUUAGAUACCCCUGUAGUC
rnacentral:rRNA from 1 species